GCUAUAAAAUUUAUACUGUCCUACACAAAACAAAUGAUUAAUUACAGAAGGUUCCAUAAAACAUUUAAUAAGAAUUAUAACUGGUCUUAAAUUGUUUCCCCUCCCCUCUAUUAAACAUGGUACAUUCCACAACUGUGUGGUAAACAAAGAUACUAGAAAUACUAAUAAUAUUUCUAGUAUCUUUGGUGGUAACAUUUGAAAGCUAACGGAACGGUCUUCAUCGACAUCUCUCUCGCUCGCUGCUCCAUUUGUUGUUGUGGUGUCCUCCUUUUGUUCAGUAAUAAUUGGAGUAAUAAUUGCAAACUGAUAUUUUAUUGAAAUGGUUAAUACCUGUAGCAAUGUCUAUGUACUAGUUAAAUGGAUUGAAUAAGGAUUUUGGACGUUCUUCUGCUAAAACUCAGCCUAGCCUAGGAUAGCCGCUAGGCCUAUUAUAUUGCCAUUGGAAAAAAAGGAGAAGAGUCCGCACCAUGCCAAGGUCUAUGGGAUGCACAGUCAGUACAGUAUUGUGAUUGACAUUGGCCAUGGUUUACUUAUAGAAAAGGAUCCAUGAUAGGGAAGAAAAGCAACGCACAUGUGGAACUUGGUAGAGAAAGAGUGUUUGAAUCCCAUCUGAAUUACUGCCAUAACAGAUUUCACUGAUAAGAAGUAUCCUGAGGCAUCAACCACUCUUUUGAGGCAGU